CUGUGCUAAAGCAAUAAAGGUGCCUGGAACUCAGUCAUCGUUUUGAGUGUCCAUGGGACGGAAGAUCUUCACCACUAUAAUAUGCUUCUGCUGUACUUCUGCUUUUGUAGAAUAGCAGUAGCUAUCAGUAACCAGGCCCAAUCCACAGUGGACAGCGUCACAGUUUAUCCCGUCGUUUAUGAAGACAGAGAAGACAACCAAAGGAAAGUAGUAGCUUUUGAGCACGAGCAGUCUCUGGCAUUAAAGAGAGCGUCCGUUUUGGCACCAAGGCUUCUGCUUCAGGACUACCCCGGCGACGGAACCGGCGGGAAAUACGUCGACGGAGCCUAUUACGAGCGCCACCUCUAUGAAAACGCUGCCCACGAAGCCGCUCUUUUGGUGAAGCCGCAAGGGAGAGAACGCUACCAUAUUG
rnacentral:lncRNA from 1 species